rnacentral:rRNA from 1 species
CACGUAGGGCGCAAGCGUUGUCCGGAAUUAUUGGGCGUAAAGAGCUCGUAGGCGGUCUGUUACGUCUGCUGUGAAAACCCGGGGCUUAACCCUGGGCUUGCAGUGGAUACGGGCAGACUAGAGGCAGGUAGGGGAGAAUGGAAUUCCCGGUGUAGCGGUGAAAUGCGCAGAUAUCGGGAGGAACACCGGUGGCGAAGGCGACUACCUGGCCUGUUCUUGACGCUGAGGCGCGAAAGCUAGGGGAGCAAACGGGG